rnacentral:antisense_RNA from 2 species
GUCCAUGGCGGACGGUGCGUGGGGAUCCCUCGAUCCGCCGGCUUUAGUGGUACGUAUCCGGCACGCCAACCCGCACCGUCCGCCACCUUG